rnacentral:rRNA from 1 species
GAUGAACGCUGGCGGCGUGCCUAAUACAUGCAAGUCGAGCGAACAGACGAGGAGCUUGCUCCUCUGACGUUAGCGGCGGACGGGUGAGUAACACGUGGAUAACCUACCUAUAAGACUGGGAUAACUUCGUGAAACCGGAGCUAAUACCGGAUAAUAUAUUGAACCGCAUGGUUCAAUAGUGAAAGACGGUUUUGCUGUCACUUAUAGAUGGAUCCGCGCCGCAUUAGCUAGUUGGUAAGGUAACGGCUUACCAAGGCGACGAUGCGUAGCCGACCUGAGAGGGUGAUAGGCCACACUGGAACUGAGACACGGUCCAGACUCCUACGGGAGGCAGCAGUAGGGAAUCUUCCGCAAUGGGCGAAAGCCUGACGGAGCAACGCCGCGUGAGUGAUGAAGGUCUUCGGAUCGUAAAACUCUGUUAUUAGGGAAGAACAAAUGUGUAAGUAACUAUGCACGUCUUGACGGUACCUAAUCAGAAAGCCACGGCUAACUACGUG